rnacentral:snRNA from 1 species
GUGCUUCUGCGGCACGUAUACUAAAAUUGGAAGCAUACAGAGAUGAUUAGCAUGGCCCCAGCACAAGGAUGGUGUGCAAAUUCAUGAAGCAUUCCAAAUUUAA